rnacentral:rRNA from 1 species
CCUACGGGAGGCAGCAGUGAGGAAUAUUGGACAAUGGGCGCAAGCCUGAUCCAGCCAUGCCGCGUGCAGGAAGAAGCAUCUAUGGUGUGUAAACUGCUUUUGUACAGGAAGAAACACUCCCUCGUGAGGGAGCUUGACGGUACUGUAAGAAUAAGGACCGGCUAACUCCGUGCCAGCAGCCGCGGUAAUACGGAGGGUCCGAGCGUUAUCCGGAAUCAUUGGGUUUAAAGGGUCCGUAGGCGGUUUAAUAAGUCAGUGGUGAAAUCUGGUCGCUCAACGAUCAAACGGCCAUUGAUACUGUUAGACUUGAAUUAUAAGGAAGUAACUAGAAUAUGUAGUGUAGCGGUGAAAUGCUUAGAUAUUACAUGGAAUACCAAUUGCGAAGGCAGGUUACUACUUAUGGAUUGACGCUGAUGGACGAAAGCGUGGGGAGCGAACAGGAUUAGAUACCCUGGUAGUCCACGCCGUAAACGAUGGAUACUAGCUGUUCGGAGCAAUCUGAGUGGCUAAGCGAAAGUGAUAAGUAUCCCACCUGGGGAGUACGUUCGCAAGAAUUGAAACUUCAAAGAUUAGUUGGCGNGNGAGAGCGACGACGACGACGAGGAGGAGGAGG